UGGGAAUAUUGCACAAUGGGCGAAAGCCUGAUGCAGCGACGCCGCGUGAGGGAUGACGGCCUUCGGGUUGUAAACCUCUUUCAGCAGGGAAGAAGCGAAAGUGACGGUACCUGCAGAAGAAGCGCCGGCUAACUACGUGCCAGCAGCCGCGGUAAUACGUAGGGCGCAAGCGUUGUCCGGAAUUAUUGGGCGUAAAGAGCUCGUAGGCGGUUAGUCGCGUCUGCUGUGAAAACUCGAGGCUCAACCUCGGGCUUGCAGUGGGUACGGGCUGACUAGAGUGCGGUAGGGGUGACUGGAAUUCCUGGUGUAGCGGUGGAAUGCGCAGAUAUCAGGAGGAACACCGAUGGCGAAGGCAGGUCACUGGGCCGCAACUGACGCUGAGGAGCGAAAGCAUGGGGAGCGAACAGGAUUAGAUACCCUGGUAGUCCAUGCCGUAAACGUUGGGCACUAGGUGUGGGGUCCAUUUCCACGGAUUCCGUGCCGCAGCAAACGCAUUAAGUGCCCCGCCUGGGGAGUACGGCCGCAAGGCUAAAACUCAAAUGAAUUGACGGGGUC
rnacentral:rRNA from 1 species